rnacentral:rRNA from 1 species
UACGGGGGGUGCAAGCGUUACUCGGAAUCACUGGGCGUAAAGGGCGCGUAGGCGGCCUGGCAAGUCAGCUGUGAAAUCCCGGGGCUCAACCCUGGAAGUGCGGUUGAUACUGCUAGACUUGAGUAUGGGAGAGGGAAGUGGAAUUCCUGGUGUAGAGGUGAAAUUCGUAGAUAUCAGGAGGAACACCUGUGGCGAAGGCGACUUCCUGGACCAAUACUGACGCUGAGGCGCGAAGGCGUGGGGAG